rnacentral:misc_RNA from 1 species
GGACUACACGGGUAUCUAAUCCUGUUUGAUCCCCACGCUUUCGUGCUUCAGUGUCAGUUAUGGUUUAGUAAGCUGCCUUCGCAAUCGGAGUUCUGCGUGAUAUCUAUGCAUUUCACCGCUACACCACGCAUUCCGCCUACCUCAAACACACUCAAGUCUUCCAGUUUCAACGGCAAUUUUAUGGUUGAGCCACAAACUUUCACCGCUGACUUAAAAAACAACCUACGCACCCUUUAAACCCAAUAAAUCCGGAUAACGCUCGCAUCCUCCGUAUUACCGCGGCGGCUGGCAC